rnacentral:rRNA from 1 species
AUGCUGUCUAGUAUAAGCAUUAUACCGCGAAACUGCGAAUGGCUCAUUAUAUAAGUUAUCGUUUAUUUGAUAAUACUUUACUACUUGGAUAACCGUGGUAAUUCUAGAGCUAAUACAUGCUGAAAAUCCCGACUUCGGAAGGGAUGUAUUUAUUAGAUUAAAAACCAAUGCCCCUCGGGGCUCUCUGGUGAAUCAUGAUAACUAGUCGAAUCGACAGGCCUUGUGCCGGCGAUGGCUCAUUCAAAUUUCUUCCCUAUCAACUUUCGAUGUUUGGGUAUUGGCCAAACAUGGUGGCAACGGGUAACGGAGGGUUAGGGCUCGACCCCGGAGAAGGAGCCUGAGAAACGGCUACUACAUCCAAGGAAGGCAGCAGGCGCGCAAAUUACCCAAUCCCGACACGGGGAGGUAGUGACAAUAAAUACUGAUACAGGGCUCUUUUGGGUCUUGUAAUCGGAAUGAGUACAAUUUAAAUCCCUUAACGAGGAACAAUUGGAGGGCAAGUCUGGUGCCAGCAGCCGCGGUAAUUCCAGCUCCAAUAGCGUAUAUUAAAGUUGUUGUGGUUAAAAAGCUCGUAGUUGAACCUUGGGCCUGGCUGGCCGGUCCGCCUCACCGCGUGCACUGGUCCGGCCGGGCCUUUCCCUCUGCGGAACCCCAUGCCCUUCACUGGGUGUGGCGGGGAAACAGGACUUUUACUUUGAAAAAAUUAGAGUGCUCAAGGCAGGCCUAUGCUCGAAUACAUUAGCAUGGAAUAAUAGAAUAGGACGUGUGGUUCUAUUUUGUUGGUUUCUAGGACCGCCGUAAUGAUUAAUAGGGACAGUCGGGGGCAUCAGUAUUCAAUUGUCAGAGGUGAAAUUCUUGGAUUUAUUGAAGACUAACUACUGCGAAAGCAUUUGCCAAGGAUGUUUUCAUUAAUCAGGAACGAAAGUUAGGGGAUCGAAGACGAUCAGAUACCGUCGUAGUCUUAACCAUAAACUAUGCCGACUAGGGAUCGGACGAUGUUACAUUUUUGACGCGUUCGGCACCUUACGAGAAAUCAAAGUGCUUGGGCUCCAGGGGAGUAUGUUCGCAAGGUGAAUAG